rnacentral:lncRNA from 1 species
UCAUCAUAACAUGGUGACGAAUAAUGAGCAAUCAAGGCAAAACAAGUGGAGAAAAAAAAAUACUUGUUCACAUGAGAAAAUAUAUAUUCUAUUUCUUAGGGCGUGGUGGUGGAAGACUACUUCUUUCCAAAUAGCUGACAAUUAUUCUCUUCCUCCUUCCUUUUUCUUCUUUGCUUCCUCAUGCUUCUAUACUUUUAUUUAAUUUCACCUAUUAUAUAAGAAUUUUGAUCUCUUUUGUUUCUUGUAACUAGUUUCCAACCAAAAUUGUCAUCAAAGAAUCUUGCAAAAGAAAAAACAAAACAAAUCAAACAUGACUAGAUACUCGUGUUCAUGUUUAAGGGCAAAAUAGAAAAUGUUAAAGUAUUAUGUGUGCAUGCAAUUUAACAUACUAUAUAUUUAUUAUAUUUUAUUAUUAUUAAUUCCAAAAUAUUAUUACUUAAAAGUAUAGCGCCACAAAUUUAAUUUUAAUGUAUGUUCAAGAUAAAUAUUUUUUUAUGGAUGACUCAAAAAGGUAUGUGAUAAUUGAGUUUAAUAAGUGUAAACGAUUUAUUUAGAUUCAAUAUUUGAUGACAAUAUUUAUUUAUAUUUCUGUAUUAACAUAAAUCGUUGAUAUUUAUAAUUUAUUAACUUUUUUUAAAUAAAUAUAUUUUUAUGUAGUCACUCUAUAAUAUAUUUUUAUAUAAUUUAAUAAUAAAAAACAAAUAAUAAAUUAUAUGAUAAUAUAUGAUUGGAUGUAUGUAUAAUAUAUUUCUUUAAAUACAUAUAGUAAAUGUAAAAUGUAUGUAAUUAUUUAUUUUUAGAUAUACUUGACAAAAAAGAUAAAAAAAUAUUUUAUUUUAAAUUAAAAAAUGACUCAAAAAAUGUUUAAAAUUUAAAAUUAAAAAAUUACCAAAAAAGAAGAUAUACUAUCAUUUUUAUAGCUAAAGUUAGUCUAUCAUUUAAGAAUAUAAAAGUAUACAUAAAUAUUCGACCAUGACUAAAAUUUAUAAGAGUUUAAUUUUGACAUAAUUGAAUUGUGUGUCCUUGGAUUGAACAUAAUGACACUAAAUUACAAGUCAAAAGCAUAUGUAAACAUGUUGUAGAGAGAGAAAAGCAUGUCUUGUUUUUAUUUGUUUCUUGUUUGCAAAUGCAAGCAUUGUUCAAAAAGCAUUAUAUUGAUUCUGUCUAUGGUAAAUUGUUAGUAAGAACAUAAAAAAGAAAGAUAAAGAAUAUUAUUGUCCUUAUAGUGACAUAUUCUUUGCAUAUGUCAUGCAAUGAUUGACUUCAUCUUGUAGGUUUUAGUCAAACUUUACAUUGCAUACCUCACACGUUAUCUACAUAUUUGUAUCCUUUAAUUUAGUAAUUUACCUCUCUCUCCUUUUCAUUCUUCUUUUGGUUGGUGCAAGGUGAAGAUGACUCUUUUUUUUUUUACUUUUAAAUUAAAAAUAUAUUUAAUUUUAGUGAAAUCCAGAUCAUAAUAAGUUAGAUAUAAGGCUUUGAAUCUUUAAAGUCACACUUACCAUUUCAUUUUCUACAGUGAAUUUUAACAAUUGAAAGUAAUAUAUUAAAGAUAAUAAUUGUGUUUUUUUAGAGUAAACCACAUGUUUUACUUCUGUAGUAAAAACAUGUUUCCUCAAAACAAGUUUGAUUGGUUUUUUUUUAUAUAAAUGAAGGUGUCUCUAAUGUUUUACGGGCAUCGAGCAAAUUUUAAAAAGGAAGGGGGGGGGAGGGAGGGAGAGAGGAGAGAGAGAGAGAAAGAGAGAGAGAGAGAGAGAGAGAGAGAGAGAGAGAGAGAGAGAGAGAGAGAGAGAGAGAGAGAGAGAGAGAGAGAGAGAGAGAGAGAGAGAGAGAGAGAGAGAGAGAGAGAGAGAGAGAGAGAGAGAGAGAGAGAGAGAGAGAGAGAGAGAGAGAGAGAGAGAGAGAGAGAGGAAGAGAGAGAGAGAGAGAAGAGAGAGAGAGAGAGAGAGAGAGAGAGAGAGAGAGAGAGAGAGAGAGAGAGGUUCAACUAUCAUUCUAUCUAAGACUACUUCACUGUUCAAUGGUUUCCCAUUGAAGUUUUUUGGCCUUCCACUAUAUUUUGAGACAAAUUACACAAUGUUUAGUACAAUCACAAUAUCAAAAUAAAUCUAAAAAUCUAAAAAUAUUCUAUCUGGAUCCCUUGACUUGUACACAGUUUCUAAAUUGAAUACUUACGAAAUCUUUACUCAAAAUAGUCUUGAAUUUUCCAUGUUCAAUAAUUAUGCUCCAAAGUCCCUAUUUUGUAGAGAUCUUUCCUUAACCAUAACAGUAUCUUGAGCGUUGGUGUGUUUGAAGAUUUGAGAAAAACUCCCGCUUUGUUCGUAGACUUCCACAUAACAAUACCAAAGCAAUUAUGGAGAGAAGAACCUCAUUCUUUUUGGUUGGACUUGUCAAAACCAACCAUAACACUACACACCUUGCAAACUUCUGAAAUUUCAAAGAAAUAUUUAAAGAAAUGUUAAACACAAUAACAAAAUCUCCUAAGCAAUCACAAAUCUCAAAAUAUUAGAUUUAGAUCAACAUAAAAAUGGAAUUAGAAUGAGGUAGAAGAUUAAUGAAAUCGUUUGCAAGCACUCAAGAAAGAUUAAAAAAUCCUUUUGAAAUGAGAGAACAAGUGAGUUGUAAGUUUUCAAAUCAAUAGUAGGAGUGUAUAUUUUCAAACAUUGUUGAAGGAUUUGAGAUAAAAAGCUUUUAUAUGUUAUGGAGAUCUAGAAUAAAAAUGAGUGAAAAUAGUAUAUAAUUUGAGUUAUAAGCAAUAAGUAUGAUUCGAGUCAGAAAAUCAAGUGAUUUGAACCAAAAGGCAAAACACAUAUGAGACCCCAUUUGUGUGAUUCAAGUCACAUAAAUUGUGAUUCAAAUCACAUGAUUCGAGUCAUGAGAAAUGGUGAGUAAAAUCAGAGUUCAGAAACAAAUUAUGAAACUUUUAAUUCAAUGUUAUUUGAAUAAAGAAGUCUUGUGAUUUGAAUCAAAGUGAUGUGAUACGAAUCAUGAAGUAUGUGACUUGAAUCAUGAAAACUAGACAAUGAUCCUUGAUCUCUUUGUGGUUUUAUUUGACUAAUGUGAAUAGUGUGAUUCAAAUCACACUACCAGAAUCUCAGUUUUGUAAAACUUCAAGUGAUAUUUGAGAUUCUAAAAUAGUCAUAACUUGAAACAUUCUCAAAUAUAGUUCUUGAUCCAAAAACUCAAUAGAUUGACUUGAAGCAUAUUGCUUAAACUAUAAUCAAAUACUUUGAUUUAUGAAUCCUCAAAACAAAUUUAAAAAAUCAACCCAGAGAUGCAUAAUCAAUGAGGAGACUCAAUGACUAAAUGAACAAAACAAAAACUUAGAAGAUAAACAAUCAAUAAUAGAAUCUUCUAAGCAAUCACAAAUCUCCAAAAAAUUACAAGAAGAACAACAACACCAAACCCUAAAGCCUUCCUCAUCAUCAUCAUCGAUAUUUUCAAAAAGGCGAGCAAAGAAGAGGAAUUACAAGAAGGUCAGAACCAAAAACCCGAAGAGCAAGAGAAAGAAGAGAAUCUCACCUUUUUAUUCACUAGAGACAAUCUCCUCCACGUAGGUUGGUUUCCCCUUACUGCCUCGGUUAUAAAAUUGUUGAUAUUUUAUUUUUGAUUUGAUUCUUGAUACUUAUUUAGGAAAUUAGUUUGUUUUUGUUUGUGGUUGAUUAUGAUAAUGUGGUGCAUGAUUUCUUGGUUUGUUGUCUGAAUAUUUUUAAUAUUUUCCAAUAUGUUUCACUUAGUUUGUUUCCUGGUUCAUACAAUUAAUUUUUUCUUUAUAAAAAAGAGAUUAAUAUUUUUAACUAACAUUCUCCUCAAAACUUUUUUUUCAAAACUAACAAUAACCCACUAAACCUAUUUUCUUACCAUUCAUAAAAACCUUUCAUUCACGUACAAACACUCACUCACUCUACCAACAUCUCAUAAGAAAAUCACUCAUAAAAAAAUCACUCAUAAAAAUUCCAAGUUGAUUUUCUUCACAUCGAAGAAGAUCAACACUUAAACCCUAGCCUCCACCACCUUUGAAGCUUUGUUUUGCUACUCAGCAUUCAUCACCAAGGUACCUCGCACAAAAAAUAUGCAAAGGAAGAAGAAGAAAGAAGGGAGGAAGGAAGGUAGCUUACGCGGUCACCCCUUUUACCCUAUUUAAAUCGUGAAAAGUGUAGAUUUUUGUGAUCUAUGUUUAGGCUAGGGCUUGCAUUUUUUGUUGAUUUUUGUGUUGUUAUUGUUGGAUGCAUGUUGGAGGAUUGAUUUUUCUCCCU